UUUUCCAAGAUAAAUCCUUUAUCAAGCUUUCUUUAGCAAUUUGGAUUUUGAAAAUGGAUUCAAAAAGCUAUAAUAGGAUGGUCCAUAAGUGGGUUAUAAUGGUGAGCUUGGUAAUCAUAGUCACUCAUCCUUUUCAAUAUAAUAAUGCUCGCCAACUCAAAGCAUCAACAUAUGGAGAAAAGGUUGAGAAAAUAGUAAGGGAAAAAAGGGAAAGUAUUGAAAAUGAAGAGAAGGAGAAGGACGGAGCAAGAGCAAUGCAGGGAAGACUGGACUUAGAGGAGGUGAAAAGUCUACUGCCGCCUUUGUCGCCACUUCCAUUUCUACCACCAUUGCAAAGAUCCGAGUUCCCACCCUUCCCUUACUUCCCCCAUCCCCCUCCUCUUACCCCAUCACCUCCCCCACCGUAGUUUCUCACAUUUCCCAUAUGUUAUGGGACUUGUUUUACCUUCUAAAACUCCAGUUGGUUGCUUUUAUUAUUGCUAUGUUAUUUCUAUGUGUUUGUUACCUUGUGUUAAUGCUUUUCCGAAUGAAACCUUAGUAUUGUAGAAAA